rnacentral:rRNA from 1 species
UACGGGGGGGGCAAGCGUUGUUCGGAAUUACUGGGCGUAAAGGGCUCGUAGGCGGCCAACUAAGUCGGAUGUGAAAUCCCCAGGCUUAACUUGGGAACUGCAUCCGAUACUGGAUGGCUUGAAUCCGGGAGAGGGAUGCGGAAUUCCAGGUGUAGCGGUGAAAUGCGUAGAUAUUGGGAAGAACACCGGUGGCGAAGGCGGCCAACUGGACCAUUUCUGACGCUGAGGCGCGAAAGCGUGGGGAGCAAACAGG